CACGUAGGGCGCAAGCGUUGUCCGGAAUUAUUGGGCGUAAAGAGCUCGUAGGCGGUCUGUUGCGUCUGCUGUGAAAACUCGGGGCUUAACCCCGAGCCUGCAGUGGAUACGGGCAGACUAGAGGUAGGUAGGGGAGAAUGGAAUUCCCGGUGUAGCGGUGAAAUGCGCAGAUAUCGGGAGGAACACCGGUGGCGAAGGCGGUUCUCUGGGCCUUACCUGACGCUGAGGAGCGAAAGCGUGGGGAGCGAUCCGG
rnacentral:rRNA from 1 species